UGCAGUCGNNCGGCAGCACGGAGCUUGCUCUGGUGGCGAGUGGCGAACGGGUGAGUAAUGCGUCGGAACGUAUCCAAUAAUGGGGGAUAACGCAGCGAAAGCUGUGCUAAUACCGCAUACGCCCUCCGGGGGAAAGCAGGGGAUCGUAAGACCUUGCGUUAAUGGAGCGGCCGACGUCUGAUUAGCUAGUUGGUAGGGUAAAGGCCUACCAAGGCGACGAUCAGUAGCUGGUCUGAGAGGAUGAUCAGCCACACUGGGACUGAGACACGGCCCAGACUCCUACGGGAGGCAGCAGUGGGGAAUUUUGGACAAUGGGCGCAAGCCUGAUCCAGCCAUUCCGCGUGAGUGAAGAAGGCCUUCGGGUUGUAAAGCUCUUUCAGGAGGGAAGAAACGAUUGUGGCUAAUACCCAUGAUUAAUGACGGUACCUUCAGAAGAAGCACCGGCUAACUACGUGCCAGCAGCCGCGGUAAUACGUAGGGUGCGAGCGUUAAUCGGAAUUACUGGGCGUAAAGCGUGCGCAGGCGGUUUUUCAAGUCUGAUGUGAAAUCCCCGGGCUUAACCUGGGAACUGCGUUGGAAACUGAAAGACUAGAGUGCGGCAGAGGGGGGUAGAAUUCCACGUGUAGCAGUGAAAUGCGUAGAUAUGUGGAGGAAUACCGAUGGCGAAGGCAGCCCCCUGGGUCGACACUGACGCUCAUGCACGAAAGCGUGGGUAGCAAACAGGAUUAGAUACCCUGGUAGUCCACGCCCUAAACGAUGUCAACUAGUUGUUGGGGAGGGAGANCUCCUUAGUAACGCAGCUAACGCGUGAAGUUGACCGCCUGGGGAGUACGGUCGCAAGAUUAAAACUCAAAGGAAUUGACGGGGGCCCGCACAAGCGGUGGAUUAUGUGGAUUAAUUCGAUGCAACGCGAAAAACCUUACCUACCCNUGAC
rnacentral:rRNA from 1 species